rnacentral:rRNA from 1 species
AACGAACGCUGGCGGCAGGCCUAACACAUGCAAGUCGAGCGGACAUUCGGGGGUGCGGCGGACGGGUGAGUAACGCGUGGGAAUAUGAACACCUGUGUGGCAUAGCCUCGGGAAACUGAGAGUAAUACCGUAUACGGGCUGAUGGGGGAUGGUGUAUCGGGCAAGGAUUAGGCCGCGUUGGAUUAGCUAGUUGGUGGGGUAAUGGCCUACCAAACCGACGAUCCAUAGCUGGGGUGAGAGGAUGAUCAGCCACACUGGGACUGAGACACGGCCCAGACUCCGACGGAAGGGAGCAGUGUGUAAUAUUAGACAAGGGAGGCAACCCUGAUCGAGCCAUGCCGGGUGAGUGAUGAAUGCCUUAGUGUUGUAAAGCUCUUUCAGCUGGGGAGAUAAUGACGGUACCAGCAGAAGAAGCCCCGGCUAACUCCGUG